AAGUUGUCAAACAGCAUUCAGUGUUUACUCCAUUUAAAAGCAAAUCUGCAAAAAUCGGAAAUAUUUUGGGAUUUUAAUUUGAGAUCAAAGUUCGAAUGAUAAAGAGACAAUCACAUAUCAUCCUGAUCAGACAAAUGGGAAUUUAAACAAAUGAGAUGGAACCAUCGAAGAGCUGUGAUGUCACUAGAGGGCACGAACACUACCUUUGUCAUUUAUUAUUACUGGAACAAGCUUCGCCAAUCGCAUUGAAGGCCAUAAUUAAAAGGGAAGAGAAAAAAUGUGGAAAAAAUAUUGGUAUUUUGCUAAAUGAGAAUAGAGAUGCGUUUAAAACCCAGUACGAAACAGAGUUUCUUCAAUUAAUUCAAGAAGAUAAUGUCAAUGACAACAUUGAUACAUGGGACACACUUCAAUUAUGUGCUGUGACAUUAGUUUUGUUUAAAUCUGAUCUAACUGAACCAGAAAUUAAAGCCGUUCAAUGUAUAUAUGAUCAGAGGAAAGAUAUUGAACAAUACACCGAAUGUGCCUCCCUAACAUUCAAUACCUACAACGAGAAACAACAUUUAUUGUACGAUCAAUUACUCAAGUUGAUAACGCUCAUAGACGACCAAGCUAAUCUUGAUUGUAAACGUUUG